rnacentral:sRNA from 1 species
CUGCCGGGCAAUAAAAAUGGACACACAGCAGAAACAACAUGGCGCUGGCAGAAGGCAACGGUCCGGGACACCGGCACAGAAGCACUCGCCAAUGUACGGGCAACCUGAUGCCGGCGCCUUCCCCCCUCCCACGCCUCAGGCCUCACCGGACACUGGACUAGGAAUAACAGCAUUUAUUCUUCCUUCUGGUUGUACUCUUUGUGUCUUAACUAUUUAUGAGGUCGAGUUGUUUGUGCAGUUUGAUUAUUUUGCUGGCAGGGCGGUAGGCGGAGCACCGGCGACCUGUGCCUCUUCAUAAUUCAACGGUCGGGCUGACAAUCCGGCCAGACGGAGUGCACACACAUUCAGAGGAACGCGCCGUUCAAGUGAGAUCGCAGUGAGCGCCCACGCAACGAGUUUUGUGCAGCGUGUAGGGGAUCACUCGAUGGGCUGUACACACGCAGUGAGUAGUGAAUAUUAAUGUACUAGCAGUGUAAAUAGAUAUGUAUACUCUUGAUUUGCAGCCACAGCUGAUUUGUUAUGGUUUUAAAAAGAACUUAAUGAAAAUCAAAGUAAAGGCCGAUCGGCCCUGUGCCCUGCGGGUCCUAUAUACCCUACAGACUCGCUACAGACUGUGCUUGGGAUCCGCUCGCUACUUUGGCCUAGAAUGGCUGGAGCAUUUCUUGUGGAUUCACAGUCAACGUUCAACGUACUGCAACAUGCAGCAGCCACCAUGAGUUGUAUUGCAUAGCUAAUCACAUCACUUACAGUUCCACACAUUAUAUUAGUGAAUGCUUUGUGUGAAUGUGUCUGACGUCUGCCUAAGUCUGAUGAACGUGAUUAUAUAGUGGAAAGAAUUAUUUGGCCCAGCCAUCUUAUGUGCAUAUUUACGUACACACUUAUAUAGGGAAUUCUUUACACUUUUGAAGGCUCUACGGAGAGAUGCAACUCAUAUACACACAUAUCUGCGACCUUUCCAGUCGCCUUCUCGUGCAGCUGCUAUCCACUACCUGCUCUGGGUAGGGGCCUUCCAAAGCUACAGGCAAACAAUUGCUGCAUUCCAGAAGUCACCGCUAAAACGCCGCAACGCUACAGGACCUGAGCGCUCCCAGUCGUUGCUUCGCUUCUACAAGCAGCACCAACGGCGACGCUACAUCUUGGAACACUUUCAGCGUUCCCUUCCAUUCGGUAUAGUACACUCCUUCACGUCUCUCAAUAUAUAUGGUAUGUUAUACUCGUGUCUUAAUGGAAAGGCGUACUUACAUAUUUGAUAGGUAUCAGUAUGUUUCUGAUGUGUACACUUUAUAACAACUCUCAUGUGUUCCAGGUUCCACGUGAAAAUCCCUACACAGUUUAAUCAGCUGCUAGGCACUGCAUAUUAAUAUUUAUGAGUAAUAUUGACGAAACAAUUCAGAAGUGACUGAUUUCUCAUCCGUGGGGCUGCCUUGACAGCGAUCUUAGUGAGAAUUGUUGACUUCUAGCGACUCAGCGACUUCUACUCUGAGCGCUUCUCGUCGGUGCGUUAAGCACCUGGUGGUCUCGCUACAUAUAUUGGUCUUCUCGACGGUCCAAUUAAAACACGGCAGGAGAACAACUACGAACUACGGUUGAACAUGGAAACGGCUAUUAGUUCGUUCAGCUUCGUAAGGGACUUCUCAGGGUUGCGCUCGCAAAUACAUUGGAACCAAACACGCUCAUCGUUUCACCAUCCAUAUUUAAAGCUCUACGGAUGGAACAACUCAGAGGGGAUAAAUGCACGUAUCAGCUACCAGGUUAUAUUUAACAUUUAAGUACUACCUCGUCAAUAUCUUUUCCUUGCAUCUAGUCUUCCAGCUAUAUAUGCUGUUAGUCUGUAACCGCUCCAUAAAGGGUCUGGCAUACCCAACAGACUUCGGAUCCUCUCGUUACGUAGACUACUGACUCGCUAUGCCGGUUAGCUGCACAGGCCAGGGGGGUGUCCUUUAAGCAUCAAGAGAAACGUGAGGCUACAGGAAUCUUCGCAUAGAUCGCAUACAGUCCAUCUGUAUCGAUGUCGCUUUCCUAGCUAUAGGCGAUCUCUGCAAUCUCUGAAUUGCUCAAUCUAAACGAAAUUUCCGAACACGAAAUAAAGGAAUAACCGAUUCCGGCUCCUCCCAGAGGACAUAGCAAUUAGCAUCGGCCUCCAGGAACUGCUUCUGCUCAGCGAGAUCCGAUUGUAGGUUCUUCUUCUAUCUCCUCUGCCUCUCCUUGCUGCAUUCCUGCAUCAAUUAAAAAUUGCUUACUGCAUUUGUGUAGCGAGAAUGGAAAGAGAUGAAACCAAAC